rnacentral:lncRNA from 1 species
AGAGACACCAUUGGUAGUGUGGCAGAGGAAGUCAGAGGUACAAUUGGGAGUGUUGCACACAAAGUCAGAAACAUCAGGGAUAGUGUGACACAGGAAGUCAGAGACAACAGGUUGAAUGUGACCCUCAAAGUCACAGACCCCGUAGGGAAUGUUACACACAAAUUCAGAGAUGUCAGGGGGAGUGUUACACACGAAGUUAUAGAUGACAGGGGUAGCAUAUCACACAAACUCAGAAACACAAGGGGAAGUGUGACACAUGAAGUCAGAGAAGCCACCAGGUGGAUUGUGACACAUGAGGUCAGAGAUGCCAUGUGGAAUGUUAGACAUGAAGUUUGAGAUGCCUGGUGGAGAGACGCAUGGUGUCAAAGAUGCCACGUGUUGCUUUAUACACAAAGCUAGAGAAGCCAGUGGUAGUGUUGACACACAAAGUCAGGGACACCAGCUGGAAAGUGACUCACCAAGUCAGAGGUACAAGGUGAUGUGUGACACGUGAUGUCUAGGAUUCCACGGCAGAGUGUUACAGAUGAAAGCAGAAACGCCAUGUGGAGUGUUACACAUUAAGUGAGAGACACCAGUGGGAGUAUCACACAGGAAGUCACAAAUGUAACAUGGAGUGUUACACACAAAGUCAGAGACACUAAGGGGAGUGUUACACAACAAGUCAGAGACGCCACUGGGACUGUGAUACACAAAAUCAGAGGUGACACAGGAAGUGUUACUCAUGAAGUCAAAGACGCCAGGGGGAGUGUUACACACAAAGUCAGAACUGAGUGGGGGUGUGUUACGCAUGAAUUCAGAUACCAGGUGGAGUGAUACACACAGAGUCCGAGAUGCUAGGGGUAGUGUUAUGCAGGAAGUCAGAAAGACCAAAUGGAGUGUUAGACUAGAAGACAGAGAAGCCAGGGUGUGUGGGGCACAGGAAGUCAGAGACACCAAGGGGAGUGUUGCACACGAAGUCAGAGGUGACAGUUGGUGUGUGACACAUGAAGUCAGAGACGUCAUGGGGAAUAUUACCCACAGACUCAGAGACACCAGGGGCAGUGUGACACACGAAUUAAGAGAUGCCAGGGGGAGCAUUACAAACGAAGUCAAAGAAAUGAGGGGUAGAGUAAAAAACAAAGUCCACAGGGGGAGUGUGAUACACUAACUCACUGACACCAGGUGGAGUGUUAGUCACAAGAGGAAAGACAUCACAUUGGAGUAUUAUGCACAAGGUGAAACACACCAGAAAGAGUGUUACACACAAAGUCAGAAAGACGAAGGUGAUUGUUACACUAAGUCAGAGACACCAGGGUGACUGGGAAACAUGAAGGCACAGACACCAUGGGGAGUGUCACAGAAGAAGUCACAGAUGCAAUGUGGAGUGUUACACAGGAAGUCAGAGAAACAAUAUGUUGUAUUACACAUGAACUCAGAGACGCCAUGGGUAGAGUUACACAUGAAGUACAAGAGGAUAUGAUGAGUGUUACACUUGAUUUCAGAGAUGCCAGGGGAAUUGUGAAACACGAAGUAGGAGACGCCAUGGGGAGUGUUACAUACGAAGUCGCUGAUGCCAGAGGAAACGUUAUGCGUGAAUACACAGACACCCCUCUGAGUAUUACUCACAAAUUUAAAGAAGCCACAUGGGCUGUUACACACAGUGUCGCAGAAACCAGGGGUAGUGUUACACAAGUCAGAGAUGCUACAUGGAAUGUCACAUAUGAAGUCCUCGACAUGGUGGGUAUUGGGACACAAAGUCAGAGAUGCCAGGGGUGUGUGACACAAGAAAUCAGAGAUGCCGCCUGGAAUGUUAUACAAGAAGUCAGAGAGGCAAAGGGAAGAGUUAGACAAGAAGUCAGAGACAUCACAGGAAGUGUUACACAUGAAGUCAGAGACACCAGGGUGACUGUUACAGACAAAGUCAGAAAUGCCACAGGGAGUGUUACACACGAAAGCAGACUCAGCAUGGGGAGUGUUACACAUGAAAUCAGAGACAUCAGGUGUAUUGUGACAAACAAGAGCAGAGAACACUGGAGGAGUGUGACACAAAGUCAGAGACACCAAGGGUGUUUUUACAAAUGAAGUCAAAGACACCAGGGGGAGUAUUUCACACAAAGUCAGAGAGGCCAGGGGACAUGUUAGACAUGAAAUCAAGAUGGCAUGGGAAGUGUUACACGUGAAAACAGAGUCACCAGGGCAAUCGUUACACGCAAAGUCAGAGAUGCCACAGGGAAUGUUACACAUGAAGUCAGAGAUGGCAGCGGGACUGUGAGACAUGAAUCCAGAGACGUCAGUGGGAGUAUUACACAACUAGUCAGAGAUGCCUGGGGAGUUUUACACAUGAAGUCACAGAUGCCACGGGAAAGUUUUACACACAAAGGAAGAAAUAGCACGUGUAGUUUUACACACAAAGUCAGAGACAUCUGAGGGAAUCUUAUACAUGAAGUCAGAAAAGCCAUGUAGUGUGCUACACAAAAAUUCUGUGAUGCCAGGGGCACUAUUACAGACAAAGUCAGAGAUACCACAGGGCAGUGUUAGGCAGGAAGUCAAACACACAGGGGGACUGUUAAUCAGGCAUUCAGAGACCCCACAGUGAGUGUGACACUGGAAGUGACAGUUGAAAGAUCGAGUAUGACAUGGGAAGUCACAGAUGCCACCUGGAAUGUUACACCUGAAGUGAGAACACAUGUAGGAGUGUAACACAAGAAGUUAUAGAUGGGAGGGGAAGUGUGACACAUGCAGUCUGACACACCAUAGGGAGAAUUACACUGGAAUUCAGAGACUACAGGUGGAGUGUUAAACACGAAGUCAGAGAUGCCAGGGCAAGUGUUACCCACCAAGUCAGAGACGCCGUGUGUGGUGUUACAGGAAGUCAGACACCAGGGGGAGUGUUAUAAAGAAAAUCAGAGAUGCCAUGGUGUUACACAUGCAGUUCAAAAUGCCAGGAAGUGUAUGACACAUGAAGGCAGAGACACAUUGUAGAGUGUUACACACGAAGUCCAAGAGGCCAGGGGGAAUGUGACACAAGAAGUCAGACAUGCCAGUGGGAAAAAGUCCAAUUCAAGAGAUCCUUGGGAGCUGUAAGCAAGCGUUUUAGGUCACACUCUCCUCUCAUGCAUUGGAUGUCAUAGAUAUUUUGACCCUGUUGCUAAGUCAAAAAAGGCCUCAAAGA